rnacentral:rRNA from 1 species
AUGCCAAGAUGGAUCCCUCCCCCUGGAGGAAUUGAAAAAAUCCGGGUUGAUGGAGCUGUAUCCAGAGAUGGUAAUUUUGGAUCGUUUAGUGCCUUGUGCAGAACCUCUUCGGGCAGCUUUCUGGGAGCUUCGGUUAUAACGAUACCGGGAGUAAUGGAUCCGGCGACGCUGGAAGCGCUGGCAUGCCGCGAGGCGCUCGCACUGGCAGCGGACCUGGGCCUUGCUCACAUCAUCGUCGCUAGCGACUGCCAAGGGGUAGUGAAAGACAUCAAGAAUCGCACCGGGGGAGCAUACGCUAGCACUACCAGGGAGAUUGUGGAAACUUCGUAUACUUUUGAUAGUUGCACCUUCAUCUUUGAAGGGAGAGCAACCAAUAUUGAGGCACAUAGCCUCGCUAAGCAUGCUUUCGGUUUGGAUUAUGGGCGCCGUGUGUGGCUGUUACACCCUCCAAACAUAUCGUGUAUCCCCAUGAACUUGUUUGUGUAA